GAUGAACGCUAGCUACAGGCUUAACACAUGCAAGUCGAGCGACCGGCGCGCGGGUGAGUAACACGUAUCCAACCUGCCCUUUACUUGGGGAUAGCCUUUCGAAAGAAAGAUUAAUACCUGAUGUAAAGGAUGGGGAUGCGUUCCAUUAGGUUGUUGGUGAGGUUACGGCUCACAAAGCCUUCGAUGGAUAGGGGUGCUGAGAGGAAGGUCCCCCAGAUUGGAACGAGGACACGGUCCAAACUCCUACGGGAAGCAGCAGUUAGGAAGAUUGGUCAAUGGGCGUUAGCCUGAAACAGCCAAUUAGUGUGAAGGAUGAAGGCUUGUGGGUCGUAAACUUCUAGGAUAUAAGAAUAGGUAUUAUAUGAAUAAGGAUCGGCUAACUCCGUGCCAGCAGCCGCGGUAAUAC
rnacentral:rRNA from 1 species